UCUGGGCUCCAAAGGCUUGCGGAUAGCUGCCUGAAGCCUGGGGAGCGCAGCAGGAAUUGGCGCUGCGCUCCCCGGACUUCAGGCUGCAGGCUGCUAUCCACAAGCCUUCGGAGCCCGCG